rnacentral:rRNA from 1 species
CAUUACUGAAGUGAGUCUUCAUUCAUUGAAGCUUCUUCCCAUUGUGCUGGCUUUGACCGUAUGUAAAGUUGGGGAUUAAACAUGGUUCAAAAUUUAUUUUGUGGCCGUCCCCAACAAUUUAUCUCAUCCUUUAUAAAUUUGAACUGAACUCAUUUUGAGAUUACUUAAAAAAAUAAUCUUAUUAUACAACUUUCAACAACGGAUCUCUUGGUUCUCGCAUCGAUGAAGAACGCAGCGAAAUGCGAUACGUAAUGUGAAUUGCAGAAUUCAGUGAAUCAUCGAAUCUUUGAACGCACAUUGCACUCUAUGGUAUUCCGUAGAGUAUGCCUGUUUCAGUAUCAUGAACACCUCACUACUAUAACUUUAUUGUUAUGAUAGUGGAUUUGGAAUGCGCUGGUGUCAGUCAGCCCUUCUAAAAUGGAGUUCUUGCACUGUUGAUUUGUUUUAACAGCAAUGUUGGCCUAAUAAGUUUCAGCAGCAAUGUUGAAAUCACUGGCUUUUUUUGCUUAGAAUCGGACAGUCUUGAUAUACAGAAUUUUUGAGGUGACUUUUGUCUCCUCUUCAAAUUUUGAUCUGAAAUCAGGUAGGAUUACCCGCUGAACUUAAGCAUAUCAAUAAGCGGAGGAAAAGAAACUAACAAGGAUUCCCUCAGUAACGGCGAGUGAAGCGGGAAGAGCUCAAAUUUAAAAUCUGGCUUACUUGUAAGUCCGAGUUGUAGUCUGAAGAAACGUUUUCCAUAAGCACUGAGGCACAAGUCCCUUGGAACAGGGCAUCAUAGAGGGUGAGAAUCCCGUCCAUGGUCUCAAGUUGCUUAUUUUGUGAUACGUUUUCUAAGAGUCAGGUUGUUUGGGAAUGCAGCCUAAAAUGGGUGGUAAAUUUCAUCUAAAGCUAAAUAUUGGCGAGAGACCGAUAGCGAACAAGUACCGUGAGGGAAAGAUGAAAAGAACUUUGAAAAGAGAGUUAAACAGUACGUGAAAUUGUUGAAAGGGAACCGUUUGAAGCCAGUCUUACUUGCUCGUGAUCAGUUUGUGCCUCGGCAUGAAUGCACUCUCGGGUAUGGUAGGCCAACGGCAGUUUAGAAUGCGAGAAAAAAAUUUGGGAAAUGUGGCCUUCGGGUGUUAUAGUCCCUUAUGAAAUAUCGUGUUCUGGACUGAGGAUCGCAGUAAAAAUGUGGGCAGGUAGAUUUCUGUGGUGAAUUACUUGUAGGACAACUUGUUGACCUAGUUUUCAUAAGCCUCACUGUUUGC